AUUGAACGCUGGCGGCAGGCCUAACACAUGCAAGUCGAACGAGUGGCGGACGGGUGAGUAAUGUCUGGGUUACUGCCCGAUGGCGGGGGAUAACUCCUCUAAACGGUAGCUAAUACCGCAUACCAUCGGAUGUGCCCAGAUGGGAUUAGCUAGUAGGUGGGGUAACGGGUCACCUAGGCGACGAUCCCUAGCUGUUCUGAGAGGAUGUCCAGCGAGACUGGAACUGAGACACGGUGCAGAGGGCUACGGGAGGCAGGAGAGGGGAAUAUGGGACAAUGGGCGAAAGCCGGAUGCAGCCAUGCGGCGUGUAUGAAGAAGGCGGGGGGGGUGUAAAGUAGUUUCAGCGAGGAGGCGUUACUCGCAGAAGAAGCACCGGCUAACUCCGUGCCAGCAGCCGCGGUAAUUC
rnacentral:rRNA from 1 species